rnacentral:rRNA from 1 species
GACGAACGCUGGCGGCGUGCCUAAUACAUGCAAGUUGAGCGCUGAAGGUUGGUACUUGUACCGACUGGAUGAGCAGCGAACGGGUGAGUAACGCGUGGGGAGUCUGCCUUUGAGCGGGGGACAACAUUUGGAAACGAAUGCUAAUACCGCAUAAAAACUUUAAACACAAGUUUUAAGUUUGAAAGAUGCAAUUGCAUCACUCAAAGAUGAUUCCGCGUUGUAUUAGCUAGUUGGUGAGGUAAAGGCUCACCAACGCGAUGAUACAUAGCCGACCUGAGAGGGGGAACGGCCGCAUUGGGAAUGGGACACGGCCCAAACUCCUACGGGAGGCAGCAGGAGGGAAUCGUGGGCAAUGGACGAAAGGCGGACCGAGCAAGGCGGGGUGAGUGAAGAAGGAUGUCGGAUCGUGAAUCUCUGUUGGUAGUGGAGAGCGUGGGUGAGAGCUGAAUGCUCAGCAAGUGACGGUAACUACCCAGAAAGGGACGGCUAACUACGUG